GACGAACGCUGGCGGCGUGCCUAAUACAUGCAAGUCGAACGCAGUGGGGACGGGUGAGUAACACGUGGGUAACCUCCCAUCAGAGGGGAUAACACUUGGAAACAGGUGCUAAACCGAUACUGAUGGAUGGACCCGCGGUGCAUUAGCUAGUUGGUGAGGUAACGGCUCACCAAGGCCAUGAUGCAUAGCGGACCGGAGAGGGUGAUCGGCCACACUGGGACUGAAACACGGCCCAGAUGCCUAGGGGGGGCGGCAGUAGGGAACCUUGGGCAAUGGCCGAAAGUCUGACCGAGCAAGGCCGCGUGGGUGAAGAAGGUUUUCGGAUCGGAAAACUCUUUUGUUAGGGAAGCGGUAUCUAACCAGAAAGCCACGGCUAACUACGUGCCAGCAGCCGCGGUAAUAC
rnacentral:rRNA from 1 species